GGCUGCCAGAGCAGACGAUGCACUUAAAAUGCACCAGUACUUCUAGUGCUUUUAUGUCAACAUAACAUCUAGUUUAUCAAUGCUCUACUGCAUACGUAAGAAAGCACUUUGUUGUUAGUUGUUCCAGCUUUGUUCUCUUUUCUUAUCAAGUUAUAAAUAGCAAAAAUAACCGGUUUGGUCAGUUUGCACUGAGCUAAAGAACAGUACUGCUAUGAGGAAGCUGGCAGUAAUAUAUGUUGGGUUGGACACUGAUAUGACGUCAGGUCACUGGGAUAGAGUGCAGUGUGUUGUGAUUGUACCCAACAUUAGAUUUGAGGAUCUCAGCAGCACUGGAGUGCCAUCAAACACCAAUGAACAAAAUCCACAACGGAAUGAACUGGAAUCCAAUGGAUUUGGGAGCGAGAAAGAAUCUGAAAGAAUGUUCACAGGAGCAGGAAGAAUGCUGGAUUGGCCUGGAACAGCAGACUGCACAAAGCCCUACAAAACUUCUCCCACACAUGACUGUUCAGAGAGAGCAAUCAAAAGGAUUGCUGGACGAUUUCAACAAAAACAAUUCCCUAAAAAUUAGGUUACAGCUUUAUUGAUACUCCUGAGAACUACUGGAUAAAGUGUCGUUUGGAAGUCCUGAAGUGACUCUUCCUGUUUUUCCACCUGUCAACACACAACUAGGUCAGAGACUCAGAGGCCUAGGGAGUGUACAGAAUUGAUCUGGAAUAUAUGACAUCUACAUAUUCUAUGGACAUAUAACACUGGAGGUAGCCAAAAAUGGGUUCUGUCCGUUAUAUGAGAGAUAAUGAGAAGAUGUACUGUACCAACUGCACAGAAUGUGGAUAGCAAUACAUCUCUAAAACUCUAUGAACUCUCAUCAGCUUGUAAACAUUGGGAUGAUUGAGAUUAAAUGUGUGACUUUAUGGAAUCAUUCAUUUGAAACUUACUGUCAUAUGCUGUCUAAGCCGUUUUAGCUUUAUCACAUCAAUUUAACCUUUCUUUUUUUUUUACAACAGCAAAGAGAAACGCAUGUCAUGAAAUGAUCAAAUGUACAUUUCCAGAUUUUUGUUUUACAAACAAUGUUAUGAUGUCAUACUGUGUAUGUAAUAUUAAGUCAUACUGAUGUGCCUAAAGUCGUACUGAAAUGUUCCUAAAAACAAACUUUGCAGUCUAUCUAGGCAUUUUCUGCCAUCUUUGCACUCCCAGUCAAACUGUCUGAUUCUGUUGUUUGUAUAAUGAAUGAAAUCAAAUGAAUAAAAGUAAUAUAUUGACAAAUGCAGUUGAAACCUUAAAUAAACUUUUUUUAAGUAUA